AUUGAACGCUGGCGGCAUGCCUUACACAUGCAAGUCGAACGGCAGCAUAGAAGAGCUUGCUCUUCUGAUGGCGAGUGGCGAACGGGUGAGUAAAGCAUCGGAACGUACCGUGUAGUGGGGGAUAACGCAGCGAAAGCUGUGCUAAUACCGCAUACGCCCUGAGGGGGAAAGCGGGGGAUCGAAAGACCUCGCGCGAUUAGAGCGGCCGAUGCCUGAUUAGCUUGUUGGUGGGGUAAAAGCCCACCAAGGCGACGAUCAGUAGCUGGUCUGAGAGGACGAUCAGCCACACUGGGACUGAGACACGGCCCAGACUCCUACGGGAGGCAGCAGUGGGGAAUUUUGGACAAUGGGGGAAACCCUGAUCCAGCAAUGCCGCGUGAGUGAAGAAGGCCUUCGGGUUGUAAAGCUCUUUUUGUCAGGGAAGAAACACCGGCUCUAACACAGUCCGGGAAUGACGGUACCUGAAGAAUAAGCACCGGCUAACUACGUG
rnacentral:rRNA from 1 species